UUGGCUACACCUUGACUUGUCUUGACAAC
rnacentral:piRNA from 1 species